rnacentral:rRNA from 1 species
GACGAACGCUGGCGGCGUGCCUAAUACAUGCAAGUAGAACGCUGAAGAGAGGAGCUUGCUCUUCUUGGAUGAGUUGCGAACGGGUGAGUAACGCGUAGGUAACCUGCCUUGUAGCGGGGGAUAACUAUUGGAAACGAUAGCUAAUACCGCAUAACAAUGGAUGACACAUGUCAUUUAUUUGAAAGGGGCAAUUGCUCCACUACAAGAUGGACCUGCGUUGUAUUAGCUAGUAGGUGAGGUAACGGCUCACCUAGGCGACGAUACAUAGCCGACCUGAGAGGGUGAUCGGCCACACUGGGACUGAGACCCGGCCCAGACUCCUACGGGAGGCAGCAGUAGGGAAUCUUCGGCAAUGGGGGCAACCCUGACCGAGCAACGCCGCGUGAGUGAAGAAGGUUUUCGGAUCGUAAAGCUCUGUUGUAAGUCAAGAACGAGUGUGAGAGUGGAAAGUUCACACUGUGACGGUAGCUUACCAGAAAGGGACGGCUAACUACGUG